rnacentral:lncRNA from 1 species
GUUCAUAUUUCUAAACGUUUGAUUACAGUAUUAAAACUGGCAUAUAACUUUUCGGUGUGACAAGGAGAUCUAUACGUCUAUCAUAAAUAAAAUAUUUUCUAUCUUAAAAUUCUCGCCUCGGUACAUCGAACGUCUGCUUGGGUGUACAAAACGUCAUGGUGAAGGCAGACUAGGAAAUAUCCGAGGAAGAUGACAACUUGAGCCUAAGAAUGUGAUGGUCAUGCAUCNGUUGUGCCUGCACCCGAACCUAUCACAAUGGCAGAUGUUCAGGAAGUGAUGUGAACCAUGAUAGACAGAGAAAAUAGAGGAAAUGAGAUGCCUUACGAUAAUGAAGGAUACCUAUCGGAAGAUAUCAUAAGAGGUAUCUUGCCUUUAGAAUACGUCUAAUAAAAUAACAGUACGUCUAGAGAAGUACGGUACAUCCGAAUGUACACAUCUGAUUGGCGAGAUGAUAGAACGAUUGGUGUAACUCCUAAAGUUUUCCUAUCAUCUGGAAUUUCCUCCACCAACCGAGAUGAAGCAGAAUUGAUGAUUGAAGAUACGUAUGAAAGAAGUCCUAGUAGAGUCUAGGGAAAUUUUAUGAUUAUUUGGACACACUCGUAUGUGUUAAAUUGUUUUGUGAUUUUAGGACUUGGGGACUGCGAGACAAUACUUGGGAUGAGUAUGAGUAGGUGUGAAAGGUAGUAGAUGCAUAUAUUACCGGAAGCGCAGGACUCACGCUUGGAUCAGGGAAAGUCACAAGGUUACCAAUAAGUUAGUAAAUGAUUUUGUUUUAUUCAAGCAUGUCAUUACCUUCGUUUUGGUAAUGACUAAGAAGAUUGUUGUUAUUCCAACCCAAGUGGUCAUAUCAAAUUGAGUCCGACUACGAUGAGUAUGAUACGUGGUUCAGAGCACCAAGUUUGAUGUAGCAUCUGACUUAAACCAAAAGAUUGAAAUGAAAGCUAACCAAGGCGAUCAGUAGAAGUAUCGUGAUGAUUGUUAAACAAGUUGGUAGCUAGAAAUGCUACAUAUUGAAAUGUGAUUAUAUCUCGUUAGAACAUGCAGGAAGGUGUACUCUGUUUUGGAAUUUGACUCUAAGAGACCUGAGUCUGAGCGCUCCAAAAUACGAUGAGAGGUCAUUAGAAUAUGACACAUCGGUCCAUUAUAGUAAUAAAAGAACUUAUCUUAAGAUCGUAUCCAGUGAGGAUCGAGAUUGUGACUUGAAGGUCAUAAUCUGGAGUCUAACGUGACAUAGGGAGCAAGUGCGAGAUCGAGCACCGCCUACAGUCAUGGAGUCCAAGAGUUAGAUACUCAUUCGAAGAAAAAAGGAAGUUACGAUUAUUACCUAAGAUGAAGAGAUAACGUUUGGAGUCAUUAUACUGCCCUGUUUCGUUGAUGAUUCCAGGACGUAAUCAUCCUAAGGGGGAGAUAAUUGUAACGCCCGUAGAUCCAGGCUAAAUGUUUUACGUUAUAGCUAUAAAGAUGCCUUAUAUGCUAUUAUUUUUUCGGAUCUACGGUCUGUUGCCGACCGGAUCUGGAAAUUUUAUGUGUUCAGAUUUCUAAACGUUUGAUUACAGUAUUAGAACUGGCAUAUAACUUUUCGGUGUGACAAGGAGAUCUAUACGUCUAUCAUAAAUAAAAUAUUUCCUAUCUUAAAAUGCUCGCCUCGGUACACCGAACGGCUGCUUGGGUGUAUAAAACGUCAUGGUGAAGACAGACUAGGAAAUAUCCGAGGAAGAUGACAACUUGAGCCUAAGAAUGUGAUGGGUCAUGCAUCGGUCGUUGUGCCUGCACCCGCAUCUAUCACAAUGGCAGAAGUUCAGGAAGUGAUGCGAACCAUGAUAGACAGAGAAAAUAGAGGAAAUGAGAUGCCUUACGAUAAUGAAUGAUACCUAUCGGAAGAUAUCAUAAGAGGUAUCUUGCCUUUAUAAUACAUCUAAUAAAACAGUAGUAUG